rnacentral:rRNA from 1 species
GACGAACGCUGGCGGCGUGCUUAACACAUGCAAGUCGAACGAAAAUACCAAGCUUGCUUGGUUGAUUAGUGGCGAACGGGUGAGUAACACGUGAGUAACCUGCCCCUUACUUUCCUGGAUAACUGCUCGAAAGGGUAGCUAAUACGGGAUAUUCUGACCAGCCUGCAUGGGUUGGUUUGGAAAGGUUGUUUUUCUGGUAAGGGAUGGGCUCGCGGCCUAUCAGCUUGUUGGUGGGGUGAUGGCCUACCAAGGCUUUGACGGGUAGCCGGCCUGGGGGGGUGGCCGGUCACACUGGGACUGAGAUACGGCCCAGACUCCUACGGGAGGAAGCAGUGGGGAAUAUUGCACAAUGGGCGCAAGCCUGAUGCAGCGACGCCGCGUGAGGGAUGAAGGCCUUCGGGUUGUAAACCUCUUUCGUCAGGGAACAAGGCACUGCUUUUUUGGUGGUGUUGAGGGUACCUGGAUAAGAAGCGCCGGCUAACUACGUG